GAGCAGUGAUGAAAUGGUUUUACUCCUGACCUUUAUGAAGGUUUCUACACUUGAUCUGAGCUCA
ensembl:snoRNA